CCCUUAGAUGUUCUGGGCCGCACGCGCGCUACACUGAUGCAUUCAACGAGUUUCUUCCUGGUCCGAGAGGAAUGGGUCACCUUUUGAAAGUGCAUCGUGAUAGGGAUAGACUAUUGCAAUUAUUGGUCUUCAACGAGGAAUUCCUAGUAGACGUAGUUCAUCAGACUGCAUCGAUUACGUCCCUGCCCUUUGUACACACCGCCCGUCGCUCCUACCGAUUGAAUGCUCAGGUGAGCCAUUCGGACUUUCAUCAUGCUGGUUUCCAGUUUUGAUGAAGGAAAGUCUUGCGAACCUUAUCAUUUAGAGGAAGGAGAAGUCGUAACA
rnacentral:rRNA from 1 species